rnacentral:lncRNA from 1 species
GCCAACAUCCCCUGAGCUGUUGAUGCCCUGUGAAAUCUCUGUGAAAUCUCUUUCUCGCUGAUCCUACACAUUUGGAAAGUGCUGUCAUGACAAUUAUUACUCACAAAGUUCUCUUGCUGAGGGAGGAUGGUCACUUGGCAUGUAUUAUUCUCCCCAUUUUACAGACAUGGAAACUGAGACCCACAGAGAUCCUGGUGGUGUAGUUUGAAGCUGCUGGAAUUCUCCAAGCUGCUCUCCCUGCCUUUUAGGCUGUUUCUCCUAGUGGUGCCGGUGACACAAAGAGCUGUUCUUAUCCUCUCCUGUCCUGAGUUAUUAUGCAAUAUUUGGAAAUGAAGGAAAGGAAACUGCUCUUGGAAACCCUGAAAUGAACACACAAUGCAUCAGAGCCAAGCCUGCAAUCACUCAAGAAAGAAUGAUUCUCGAGGCAUCGAGUCCCCCCUGGAAGUUAAUUGAAAGGCUGUCUACAGAAAAGAUGGUCAGUCCUAAGGGAGAGGUAGGUCAGUAACGAAAACACAGAAAAGGAGAGUCCUAGAGAAAACCCAGAGCCCUGACCUGGAGGAAGAGGACCUUGGUCCUAAAGGUGCCUGUGUAUUUUUUGUGGAGAUGGGCACUCAAAUUAUCAUCACCUGAUAUGAUUAUGCAUUUUAAUUUUCCAACUAACCUCGGUGUUUUCACUCUGUACUCAGCGAGCAGCCAUGUGACUGUAAGCUGGCUUCCCAAGUACUUGGUCCUCAAGGAGAGAAUGGGUGUUAUCCCCUCAGCAGUUCCAUUCUGAUGUCCACAGCUGGCUGGUAGGGUGAGUCAGCAUCCCCCCCAGCAGUCCCAUUCACCCUGGGCCACUGCUGGGACCCAGCAUUUGAACAGUAGGACAGAGGGCUGCAGGCUGGCCUAAGUCACACCACAGUGAGCUGGUCUUCCCAGGAAGCUCCCAGCCUUCCCGUUCUAUGGCACUGUCAGACUGUACCUCUUUAUUUCAAAACACAUCAGAAUACAUCAAAGCCCUGACUGUUAGGUAAGUAUUACUAUGCCCACUUUUAUAAGCAAGGAAAUAGAGAUUGCAAAGGGGUAAUUAACUUGCCCAAAGGCGCUUAACUUCAUAAACCAGCCUGGAUUCCGCACCUAUUCUGACUCUAAAGCCUGUGUUCUUUCCCUUGACUUCAUGCGGCCCCUGCCUUCAAGGACUUUCCUCUCCAGUGUAUCUUUAAGUAAGAAAGCGUGUGUGGGAGGUGAGGUGCGGGAGAGGGACGAGAAUGCUCCCCUGCCUGAAGCUCCCCUCUGUGACUAAGAACCCAGUUUGUAAUCUCUUCUUCACUUUUUUUUUUCUUUUGAGACGGCGUCUCGCUCUGUCGCCCAGGCUGGAGUGCAGUGGCGCGAUCUCGGCUCACUGCGACCUCCGCCUCCCGGGUUCAGGCAAUUCUGCCUCAGCCUCCCGAGUAGCUGGGAUUACAGGCAUGCGCCACCACACCCGG